AGCACUAUAUAAAUGUAGCCAUUUACCAUUCAAGUUUGAAACUGCAGCCUGUUACAGGGAUGAAUCAGCACAACAUGGCUCCCAGUGACUUGGACUAAUCACUUAUUAACUUUCUCAAUAUCAUCAGUGCUAACAGGAAACUGGAAUAAAUUUCCACUGAAGAAGACCAUGGGACACUCUCAAAGCGCUGGUAAAAGCAAGUCCAACAGGACAUCAACCAGAAAUGCUGUUUGGAGUUGUGGCCAGAAGGUCAUCUGGUCCUUUCUUGGUUGGUGGAUGCCAGCUGUGACGGAUGCUGUCAAGCUUCAGAAGGAGGCCUUUUGGACCAGUGGACUCCAGAAUCAAUAGACAGUUAUUGGAGUCUAUUUCCAGGUUCUAUUGGACCCUCAAAAACAGAACACAUGAUGAGACCUGGACAUAAUCUCUGUGAGACACACCAAAUCUGAGAGGCUGGAUAUCCUUGGAUGGAAGCAACCUAAAAGCAUAAACCUCUGAUGAAGCUGAGGAUGUGUGAUGUUUUUAAGAUGUUAUCUGGCAGUGGAGCAGCCAACAUAAAGAAAUAUAAGUCCUUUUUUAGCCACGGGGAGCCCAGCGAGGUGGACAUGCAAGAGUCUGUUAUCAUUCUCUUCAUCUUCAUACUUGCUCCCUUCUCUUCAGUUUCCAUCUGUAACUUUUUUUUUUCAGUGCUCGGGACAGAAAGCCUCAGUAAGAGUCUGUAGAUGCAUCUUUGAGAAUGUUUGCACAGGAAUAAACUAAGUGAGAUGCCACUCCAAUUAUGAAAUUAAACAGCAAUAUCAAUCAAUGAUUGGUUUGAUUUUAAAGGAACGAGGAAAUAGUGUGAUUGGUGUCCUCUAACUCACAACCCUUCUCGUUAGUAACGCUGCUUUUCAAAAUGGUUAUCACUUUUUCCCCAUAACAUUCUUUCACAAACAUCUCUUUCGCAAAAAUCCCCCCAUGUGGGACUUCUCCCUUUUUCAUUUUAAUAAACAGAUACAUUUUGGAAGUGGUUUCCUCCCCACAGCCUGUCACUUGUUCCACCGCAUGCCAUCAUCAGAAACUCUGUACCAUGUUUGUGUCAUAUUUCAUUUGCCAUAAACAAAAGCUCCUAAACAGUGUUGUAGUGAUUCAAACACAAAAUCACAACUCUGCCAGCAGCAGCACUGACCAUAACGGGAGAACAGCCGUGAGUCUGUUAACAGCACUACAACAAGAUCCAAGGGAUGUUUUGGGGCUGUCCACCCAAGAACAACGACACAAUCAGUUGUUUCAGCAAGUGCCCCAAAACGACAUAUGUGUACGUUCAAGUGAUGAAGCCCUCUAGUAGCUGUAGUAAUUAUGACGGUAGCAAAGAAGGCAGUCAGGUGACAUUUUUAUAAAGCGACGAAGUCCACGUAGGAAGGAUGUCAGAGAACGCGGUUUGUUUCCUGCUUCCUGCCUCGAGUCAGUGUUGGUUUAUUUUAACCAUGACCACGAUCGUUUCCUAACCUCAACCAAGUGGUUAUUAUUGUAACCAUGACGACAAAGAUCCCCUAACCUCAUUUCAACGCAA